GCCCAAGAGAUCGGGAUAACACCUGGAAACAGAUGCUAAUACCGGAUAACAACAGAUGAUGCCUAUCAACUGUUUAAAAGAUGGUUCUGCUAUCACUCUUGGAUGGACCUGCGGUGCAUUAGCUAGUUGGUAGGGUAACGGCCUACCAAGGCGAUGAUGCAUAGCCGAGUUGAGAGACUGAUCGGCCACAUUGGGACUGAGACACGGCCCAAACUCUACGGGAGGCAGCAGCC
rnacentral:rRNA from 1 species